rnacentral:rRNA from 1 species
GUAGGUGGCAAGCGUUGUCCGGAAUUAUUGGGCGUAAAGCGCGCGCAGGCGGUUCUUUAAGUCUGAUGUGAAACGCCCACGGCUCAACCGUGGAGGGUCAUUGGAAACUGGAGAACUUGAGUACAGAAGAGGAAAGCGGAAUUCCACGUGUAGCGGUGAAAUGCGUAGAGAUGUGGAGGAACACCAGUGGCGAAGGCGGCUUUUCUGGUCUGUAACUGACGCUGAGGCGCGAAAGCGUGGGGAGCAAACAGGGAUUAGAUACCCUGGUAGUCCACGCCGUAAACGAUGAGUGCUAAGUGUUAGGGGGUUUCCGCCCCCUUAGUGCUGCAGCUAACGCAUUAAGCACUCCGCCGUGGGGAGUACGGCCGCAAGGCUG